GAAGUUGCUGUUGAAGCACUGGUUCUAUUAUCACGCCUCUCCAGCCCUUUGGAGUCCCGGCCUCCAGCUUUUGAAACCGUCCCCGGGGCAACAGAGUCCCUUGCUCAGAUGUCGUUCGGUAUCUGGGACUGGGAGGGGUCCUGGACCACACGCAUUCUCACUCUGUGAUUUUGCUUAUCCCCCAGGUCCAUUCUCCUUUCUCCACUCUGGAAUGCCCUCCUCCCACCAAGGCCCACGCCAGAUGGAGGUGGAUGCCACACCCACACCUUAAGAUCACCAUCUGAGUCAUGACUUCCCGUCGUUUGUCUUCAGUGAUCUGGUUGGUGCAAACGUAUGAGGUGACAAUACAGAACAAACAGCAGGAGAAAAUAGACGUGCUCAAAACUGGGUGAUUGAUUUGAAAACAACAGAGAAAGAACUAUUAAUUAAACACUUGCUGAGCAUGUGAAUAGAUCACGGGCUCCAAGACCUGCUGGUACUGAGUUGGGGUGGCAAUUAUUCCUGUACAAGCACGUGUUUCUGCAGCUGUGACACACACGUGCAAGAAAGCAGGCCCAGGGCUUGGGAGUUCUCUCCAUUUUACCAUUUAUGCCCUAUUAAAAUAUUAUUAAAUGUUAUUAAAACAUUGUUGA
rnacentral:lncRNA from 1 species